UCUGGCAUUCUGCAGGAUACGCUAUCAAAAUGAAGUUGACAACGUGUGUGUUGAUAAUUUGUUUCAUUGCUUUGGUGAACAGUGAAGAGAAAUGUCGAGAUGAUGAAUACGAUCCAGGACCCGACUGCCCCAGGCCAGAACCGUCAUGCACGUCACCUAUUGCGAAUGCCCAUCCAAAGUACGCAUGCGUGUGUUGGUGCAAGCCUGGACUCUAUAGGGAUGCGAACACCUCAGCCUGCGUCGAAUCAUGCGAAAGUUACUGGGGGGGGUAAUGAGUAAUUGGAAUUGUCGAAUACUUAUUUAAAAAUAUAUUUUUUUUUUUUGUAUAA